UAACGUUUUGUAAAGAAGAUGCGAGAGGCCCCUGCUUUGCUGGGGCGCUACUCCUCUGACAGUCAUUACAAAGAGAGAAAUACAACAAAAAAAACAUAUUCAAUAUCAAACCCAAGAGAAAUAUUUUCCACCGAACAAGAGCGACCCCCACCCCUCAAGAAACCAGGGUCAAAGUUCACAGGAAGCUGGGGGGCUGCCAUUUUCCCCCGCUGCUACUGCUAACGUUUAACGUUAGAUGCUAAAACGACGGGGAGGGGCAGUUGGUUUUGUAUUUUGUAGCUAACUGCUCGAGACAUCACACACGAAUCUGCUGUUUCUCCGACCUUUGACGCUAACAACCAUUGUUAUUGGAUGAAUUCGGCAUGGAGAAGGUAGCGGAGCCGUCUUGGACUUCUUCGUACACCUAUCAGGUGAGCAAGCACAGUGCGGAGAUGCUACACAACCUCAACGUUCAGAGGAAAGAUGGAGGCAGGUUCUGCGAUGUGAUCCUACGCGUCGGCGAGGAGAGCUUCCCGGCACACAAAGCUGUGUUAGCGGCGUGCAGCGAGUAUUUCGAGUCGGUAUUCAGUCGCCAGACGGAUGGCGAAGGCGACGCCAGAGAGCUGGAGAUGCACACAAUCAGCCCCAAAGUUUUUAAAGACGUUUUGGACUUCGCCUACACCUCCAGGAUCGUGGUGCGACUCGAGUGCUUCCCGGAGUUGAUGACAGCUGCCAAGUUCCUGCUGAUGCGGUCCGUUAUUGAGAUAUGUCAGGAGGUAAUCAAACAAUCAAACGUCCAGAUCAUGGUCCCCACGUCGCGGGGAGGAGACGCCAGCCUCUUCCAGGCCACAGCGGCCGCGGAGCUGGGUUUCCCGGUGGCGCAGCAGGAUCUGGUGAACGGCACGGGGCUGCUGGUGAACGGGCAAAGCUUUGCUAACAAUGCACAGAUGCAUGUGGACGGGAGUGAAGACCCCCGUAUUGUGUUAUUGGAGGACGGUGGCGAUCCUUCGAUGCCACUGUUGGAGCCUGUCGAUGGACUGUCCGUUUCCCCAUCAACGGAAAUACCGGGGAACACGUUCCAGCACGACGCUGCAUCCCCAGGGUCGAAAAGAAACCGGGGGAGAGCAAAGAAAGCUAGCGGGGUUAUGGAGGCUGUACACUUUAAUCACAGCACUCCAAAAGACAUUGGGCUGUUUCCAUGUGGGACAUGCGGUAAAGCGUUUACAGAGGCUUCCCGGUUAAAGAACCACGAAGCGCAACACGGAGCACACCUCGGUGUAAACAACGUCAGUGACAGCCUGUCAACAGCGGGCGGCAUUUCUUUAAUGUCUCCGUCUGCUCUGGAGGAAAACGGCGUGCAGUUACACGGAGGGCUGGACAACGGUCGCAAACGGGAGAGGACCAGGCGGCAUGUUGGCUGUGACAUUUGCGGUAAAGUUUUCCGCGACGUUUACCACCUGAACCGACACAAGCUCUCCCAUUCCGGGGAGAAGCCGUACGCAUGCCAUGUGUGCGGACUCCGGUUCAAACGUAAGGACAGGAUGUCAUACCAUGUUCGCUCCCAUGACGGCUCGGUCGGCAAACCUUAUGUGUGCCAAAGCUGUGGUAAAGGUUUUUCAAGACCAGACCACCUGAAUGGACAUAUCAAACAGGUUCACACAACAGAGAGACCCCACAAGUGCCAGAUUUGUAAUGCCUCUUUUGCUACAAGAGAUCGCCUCCGGUCACACCUUGCAUGCCAUGAGGACAAAAUCCCCUGCAAGGUUUGCGGCAAGUUUCUGCGUGCUGCCUACAUGACAGACCACCUCAAAAAACACAGCGAAGGGACGCAUAACUACUGUGGCAUUUGCAACAAAGGUUUCUCCACUGCGUCCUACCUUAAGGUGCAUAUAAAGACACACCAUGGCUCUCCACUGCCCCCCUCCGCCACAAUGCACGUCUUCCCUGAACCACGGGGGGAGCUGCAGAUGCACAACGGCACCCCUUACCACAUGGGACGCCAGUGCUCGGUGGAAGACCUGUGCGCCAGUCGCCAGCUGCUUCUCACCUCCACUGAGGCAGAGGGUCGCUUUCAUGGGCUCUCUGGACCCCCAGUGCUCCCCCAGCCUGGCCCUCUGCAGCCUGAGCUCAUGGGGAAGGCAGGUGGGGCUCCGUAUUUCUGGGAUUGUCGCUCUGGCGGGGUGCCUGGCUUCCCCGUCCAUGGGCCUGCUGCAGACGGGCAGGAAAACACUGGGAAGUGUCCUCAUCUGGAAUCAGAAGAAUCCGAUCCUUCAUUUGGGGAAUUGUCUAACGGUGACGAGCUUAAAUCUCCUCAGAAACCUGACGAGCCGGAGCUGGAGAUGCCCUCUUUGGCCUGUAAUGGGGCCUCUACCGGGGCCCUCAGCUCCCCCGAGGGAUCUAAAGCCAAGACGGACCCUGAGAAGAAGUUUAUCUGCAGCAUUUGCGGUCAGGCUUUCCGCACCAAGUCCUACCUCAACAAGCACCAGCACAGAGUUCACAAAGCCCAGAAGGCCCAGGGGACCUCAGGGCCGGCCUUAAAUGAGCUGGGCCCCUCCCUGACCUCUCCCUUCUCCCCCCAACAGAACAUGUCUCUGCUCGAGUCUUUUGGCUUUCAGAUAGUCCAGUCUGCUUUUGCCUCUUCUCUGGUGGAUGCUGAGGCGGGUCAGAGUGGAAUUGACUUUGGAGCGAAGUGACUUAUUUGCUAACGUUCAUUUCAGGACAAAGAAGAUGCUCUGUAUUUGGGAAUAACUUUGCCUCAAGGGCAGGAGAACAUAUAACGCAAACAACCAAAACAAAAAGGGGGAAAGCUGAGCUGAACAUACAGCGUUGAUGCCGCAGAACUGAACCCCGGCACAGGGGAUGAUGAGAGUCAGAAGCUGCCAUCUCACACAGCGAGAGCAGAGGACAUCCUUCACAGUCUUCGCCUUCUCUCCCUGAGUGCUCUCUCUCUCUUUCUUCAUGUCGUCCAGCUCCAGUUUUAAGUCGUCCUCCUGCCACAGCCACUGCAAAGCUUUCACAUAAACACACAUCACGCAUCAUGCUAGAGUUUUAAUACUGUGACUAAAACUACUAAACCUGUCUGUGCUUGACAUGUUGGACAGUUCACCCAAAGAAAGAACAAAUGUUCACACAUCUGCCCUGGGUUGCUACUUAUUAAUGUAGAUAGAACUAGUGCAAGUGGCUAGUUGUAGUAGUUGGGAUAUCUGCUAUAGUAAUAAUGGGAAUAAGAAGCACUUGUUUGUGGUGGUCAAAGUGCAAAAACAGUUAAUUUGAAAAACACAACAGCAAUAUCUCUUUCCAGGAAUCAUGACCCAAGAUAAUUAACAGACCUUGUUUUGAGCUGUUUCAUGUAGGAAGAGUUUGCAAAUAUUAUUAGCAACAUUCAUUCAUGCCACGAUUUUUUUUUGCUACCAUGGUUUCAACUCUAUUACAGCGUUCAACAACACAUCCUUGAAUGCAACAGGAUGUGUUUGUGGCUGUUUUUUUAUUUAUUUGGAUGAGGCAAUGGAUGAAAGCUCAGUUCACUGUGUCUAAACUUUAAAGGGUAUCAGUAAACUUUAGAAUCCAGAAUGGACACAGAGUCCACUCACCUUUUAUGCUGCCUUCAGUGUCUCCUUUGUCAAUGUAAAGGUAUCUGGGUGACUCAGGGAAGAAAAGCAGCGUCACAAGCUGCAGGAUGGCAGGAAUACCACUGACAGCUAAGAGGUAUGGCCACAUGUCUUCUGUUCCCAUUAUCUCCCUAAACAGUGAAUAACAAAGGAAAUCUGUUAAGUAGCAGGAAAAAGGAAAUACUGUAGAUAUUCGAAUUGGCCCUUACGUUACAGAAAUUAAGAUAGCUUACUACAUCACUUUUGCUGUUCUAAUGCUGACUAAUUAUUAAAACAAAGUUGAAAAGUUAUUGCGCUUUAGUCCGUUAAUGAACAACUCAUGGCAUUUGACUGCGUAGGCAAAUUUUUUAUAUAGGUAUUCAUUUUCUUUCUUUCUUGAAAAUAUGUUUUUCUCAUAAAUAUUAGAGUACCAUAAAUCAGUUCUUACUUGAUGCCAAUUAUUUGACCAAUGACCUUUCCAAAUCCAAUGAAUAUUGAGCCUGUGAGAGUCAUGAAACCCCUGAGUUUCUUUGGAGAACUCUCUCCGAGGUACAUGAGGUGCACACUCAAGCCAAGACCUGUGGGGAGAGACAAGGAGAAAAUAGCUAUAAAACAAUCUGACCAAAAAUGCCAACUAUACUUUUGAUUCAAUUAAAAGAGUAGGUCAAAUAAAUGAAAACUCUUGUAAUAAUUGUUCCCAUUAUGCCUGACACUCUUUCUCAUAAUCAGAACAUACCAACAUUAUAUCCGUAGAGGAAUCUGCCCAGCAAGAUCAUCUCAAAAGACUUGGCCAUUCGACUGAAGAGCAUGAGAAUGGCAGCCACAAUCGCCACUACAUUGUUGAACAAGAGAGCUUUUUUCCUGCAAAAACAAAAGAAACAAUAAAGAUUGGUAACUUAUGUCACUGCUGACAUAAGUUACCUUAUGUGUGGCCAAAUCUGGUCUGGUUAGCAUAUUCAUGUAGCUUUUGCACAGAGCAAACUACAUUUUCAACUUUUGUAGCUGAAGAAGUGUGAUUCUGGGCAAUUGUAUCGUGUAUAAAUAGAUUCAGUGGAAGAACAAUCCAGAACUUUUAUUAAGACUGCCACUCAGUCACUUUAAGAUGCAAUUUAUUUUUUGAUUGUAUGUUGUACUGUGUAUGGUGAGUGUUGUUUUAUCAAAAUGUGUCAGUACCAAACACACAUUUCUGAAUCUAAUUGUCUUAUUAAACAUGAACCUGAAUGUUGGCCAACUCUUUCUUUUGGCUCUCUGAGUCAGAGAGGUUUUAAAACCAGACAUUUUAGCAAACAUUCUGACGAUCUAUCUCACCCAACAGAUGUCUUUCAGAUAAUAUAAUUGUAUAAAAGUGUGUAUCUCUAUACCUGCCGUAAGUGACGGGAAUGCUGCCGCUGUGAACGGCCCCGGCCACGGCCCCAAGACUCAACACGGCCACGAUGAAGGACCAGAUGAGCUGGUUGGAGGAGUCAUCCACUGGAGCUCCGUACCUCCACAACCAGGCAGGAAGAGGCCGACAAACAGCGCAGACAGCAGGCAGACGGCUCCGAAAGGCACAAAGCAGAACUCGCUCAACUCACUCUGUAAAAGAAAGUAGCAGAGAGCCAUCAGACUGAUGUGAAGAUAUAUCAAUGACUACUGAAAUGUCUGAUGGUGUGCUACAAUUUGAAACAAGUUUGCCUGUUCUUUUGUUGUUUAUGUAUUCAAUUACAAAACAUUAUAUUAUUGGGAAUGUUUGAACUAAAAGCUUAACUUCAAAUUCCAUAAAGCCUCAGUUUUAGACUAUGAACUCUGGGUGGCGCUAUAAGAUGCCUUUUGUUAUUUAUAAGAAGUUAAUCAUUGGGCAUUUUACACUGCUUGUAGUCUUAAGUCACUUAAUCAUUAGAUAAAUCAACCCCCCCCCCCCCCCCCAUCUCAAGAAAGGCGAUUGAAGAGGUUAUGUUUCAUUUAAUUCUAUAAUAAAUAGAUUAACCAUAAACCCUUUUUUUCUUUAAGCAUGUUUGCUUGUUAUUUUAUAUGGAAGUUAUAAUUACAUUUGGUCUGACAAUGACAAUAUUACAAAAUGAUAUUAAAAAAAACAAUGAAGCAUUCAAUUUAAAGGAAACAACCAAUAAAUAAUUCACCAAAAAAGGACUAGACUGAAAGUACAGCAUACAAUAUCUUAAUAAUCUUUCACUACUAGGUGUUAUGUGUUUACCACCUUCUUUGCUCAUUUUCAUUUAAUCAUUUUUUUAUUUGUUAAUUGACCUACACACUCAUCGUCUAUCACAUUCCAGCAGUAAACUCCUUUGACAGAUAUUGUUUAUGUAAAUAUAGUAGAGUUGGAGAUGGGAAACAAACAAGGAGCAUGUUUAAAAUAAUGCUUUAAUUUUCUCUUUUGAUAAUGUUGCACUCUACUUUUUAAUUUCCUCAACGUGUGCAUAUGCAUUUAUUGUCUUUACAUGUGAUGUGGAUGUGAAGUGACAGACUGACCAUUAUAAAGGGAAAGAUCAUCCCCAUGAUGAAGAGGUUGAGCCACAUCAUGGAGCCCGCGAUCAUGUAGGCGGCCGGCCGAGCCGUCUGAUCGAAGAGCUCCGUCGGCAGAAUGCCAGUCACUCCAGCUAAGGAAAAACAAAAACAUAUAGAACAGAGCUUCAUACCACCUAUAUAUUAUUAACAGUAUAAAUAUAAUCUGUCUUUUAUAGCCUGACCCGUACUGGUUUUUGAUAACACAUAAUAGUGAUAAGUUGCUUCAUUACAGUAGAACUCGAAAUUGUCAUUAAAGAAAACAUUUGUAUUCAAAACAUAAUAUGGACAUUUCUUAUAUAGUAUUAGUAGUUAAUUUAUUUAUCUGGAAGGCUGUGAUUAUUUUAAUUUCAUGAAUGCAUCUUGAUGUGAAAUUGUAUUUAUUUAUUUGUUUAUUCCACACAUGGCAGUUAUUUUAAAACAAAACAUGUACAACUUUACAAAACAUGUACACUUAUACUGGUUUAUUUUUAUAGCGCAUGAUGGAAAGGAGCUGGGAGAAGAACAUCUUAUUUUACCUAUCCCUUCUUACAACAAAAUAACAACAAAAAGAAAAUGAAAUAACAAUUAAAAAGUCAAAUAAAAGCAAUAUUCUUUCAGUCGCUUACAAAUACUGAAACAUAAAACCUGAAGACAAUCAAAAGUCAAUUUCAUACUUUCUAAUUGUGUUUGUAUGUUUUAGAUUUUACCAUAGUAUAUAAAAAAAGGCUUCAAACAGACCUGGUCCCAUGCCAAAGCUGAGGAUGUAUGUGAAUAUGCAGGCCAUGCUCAGGUACGGCAUCCAGGAUGUAUAGUGCUGUUUGCAUGUGUACAGAAAAGAGAAAAAUAAACAGUGAGACUCUCAGAAAAAGAAACCAGAUCCCUUUCAAAUUUCAUAAAUUAAUGAUAGACUUGUGAUGCUCAGUUCACUGCCGAAACCUCAUAUAAUAAUCACAACUAUGAAUUAGCAUUGGACUAGUAUAACAUAUAGGUUAUGUGGGUAGGUUAAGUGAUGUUAAAUACCUCAAAUGACAGAGCAAUUGUGAAGACCACAGCCCAGAUGGUCAUGAAGAUGUAACCUCCCAUCAGCAUGAACCUCCGACCUUUACGCUCAAUCAGCAGGUUCUGAAAAACAUCAAAGAAUGGACAUCACUCUGCCAUUCACAUACAAAAUAAAUCAUAUUUAAGAUUUUAAAACACUAAAAAACACUUAUUCAGCAACCAAUGAACUUUUGGAAGAACAUACAUAACAUUCAUCUGUUUGCAACUCAUAUAUCAAUAUUCCAAUUACUGUAUAUAGACUAUUCUGCACUGUUUCUAUUAUAUUAUAUUUGAUUUACUUGAACUAUUUCAUCUGUGUUAUUGUGUUGCACUGUUGGAGGAGCCUGUGACCAGAGAUUUUCAUCGUCAUAAAUACACUCAAGCUAUGUACGAAUGACAAUAAAAGCCUUCAAUCUUGAAAAAAAUAAUCAUACUUUAAUAAAUAUAUAAUACUAACGCAUGGCAAACAUUGUCUGCAUAUUAGAAUACAUAUUUGUUUCUUGCUUGUGUAAUUUAUGAAAGUAUGGUAACUUUUGCAGGAAAAACAUAGAAGAUGCUUGUCAGUUUUUAUGUGAUGAUUUAUAUGAUGAAUUGGAAAUGGGGGACCCUGAUGUAAACCCUGAUGUAAACAAGACGAAAGUCUUUCUCUGGUCUGCAUCCCCUUAACAAUUGUAUGU